rnacentral:rRNA from 1 species
AUUGAACGCUGGCGGCAGGCUUAACACAUGCAAGUCGAGCGGAGAUGAGGUGCUUGCACCUUAUCUUAGCGGCGGACGGGUGAGUAAUGCUUAGGAAUCUGCCCAGUAGCGGGGGAUAACGUUUCGAAAGGAACGCUAAUACCGCAUACGCCCUACGGGGGAAAGGGGGGGAUCUUCGGACCUCUCACUAUUGGAUGAGCCCAAGUCGGAUUAGCUAGUUGGUGAGGUAAAGGCUCACCAAGGCGACGAUCCGUAGCUGGUCUGAGAGGAUGAUCAGCCACACUGGAACUGAGACACGGUCCAGACUCCUACGGGAGGCAGCAGUGGGGAAUAUUGGACAAUGGGCGAAAGCCUGAUCCAGCCAUGCCGCGUGUGUGAAGAAGGCCUUCGGGUUGUAAAGCACUUUAAGCGAGGAGGAAUGGCUGAGGGUUAAUAACCUUCAGCAGUGACGUUACUCGCAUAAUAAGCACCGGCUAACUCUGUGCCAGCAGCCGCUGUAAAAC